CUGCACCAGGCCAAGGAGGACCUGACACGGCUGCUGCGUGACUACCAGGAGCUGAUGAAUGUCAAGCUGGCCCUGGACGUGGAGAUUGCCACCUACCGCAAGCUUCUGGAGAGCGAGGAGAGCAGGAUGUCUGGAGAAUGUCCCAGUGCAGUCAGCAUUUGUGAGUAUUUACUCCCCACUUCCUGCUCCACCCCUGGCCAGGCCCCAGAACUCUGCUCAGUUUAUGCAACCUGUACCUGUCCUAAAGCAUGCUCUCCUCCAUUCGAGCCCCUGGAGACAGGUUCAGAGGGUCCUAGUUCUGGGCUUCUCUAUCCAUUUCCCAUAGCUCUGCUGCUUGAUUUUGUUCUGAUUCCCCACUGAUUUCUGGGUCUCCCCCAGCCCUCUCUGGCAUGGCCGCCCUGACUAAUCCAGACCCUUUGCUUUGCAGCUGUGACUGGCAACUCCACCACUGUGUGCGGAGGUGGCGCAGCCAGCUUUGGAGGUGGCAUCUCCCUGGGUGGGAGUGGGGGGGCCACCAAGGGUGGAUUCAGCACAAAUGUGGGCUAUAGCACCGUCAAGGGAGGGCCAGUCUCUGCGGGCACCUCCAUCCUGCGGAAGACCACUACGGUCAAGACGUCCAGCCAGAGGUAUUAGCUGCUGAGCCCUGCAAGGGCCCCUGCAAUCCUGUCCCUGCCCUCCUCACCCCACCUCUGCUGUCCUUUCCAGUCACUUCUCAGGAGCAGGAACAGCCAGGGGACCUCAGACCCAGGGUAUUUUCAUAC
rnacentral:lncRNA from 1 species